rfam:Microvirga lotononidis strain WSM3557 genomic scaffold Micloscaffold_16, whole genome shotgun sequence.
AGGCAUCUAAGCGGGAAACCCACCUCGAAACGAGUGCUCCCUAUCAGAGCCGUGGAAAGACGACCACGUUGAUAGGCCAGAUGUGUAAGCGCGGCGACGCGUUGAGCUGACUGGUACUAAUCGCUCGAUUGGCUUGAUUGC